rfam:Daucus carota subsp. sativus cultivar DH1 chromosome 1, whole genome shotgun sequence.
GUGACAGAAGAGAGUGAGCACACAUGCUAUUUCUUGCAUGUUAAUAUUCCAUGUUUGAAACUAUGCGUGCUCACUCUCUAUCUGUCAC